AUGGCGACCGGCGCACGGGUGAGUAACACGUAUCCAACCUGCCGAUAACUCUGGAAUAGCCUUUCGAAAGAAAGAUUAAUACCGGAUGGCAUACGAAUAUCGCAUGAUAUUUUUAUUUAAAGAAUUUCGGUUAUCGAUGGAGAUGCGUUCCAUUAGUUUGUUGGCGGGGUAACGGCCCACCAAGACAACGAUGGAUAGGGGUUCUGAGAGGAAGGUCCCCCACAUUGGAACUGAGACACGGUCCAA
rnacentral:rRNA from 1 species